AUAAUAUUAAAUAUUGAGCAAUCUCAAUUUCUCAACUGUUGAAUUUGCCCAACAACUCCUCUGUUGUCUGACUCUAAAUAUACAUCUAGCUUCAACAAUCAAAAUCAACCAACUAUAUAUAUCUUGUUAGCUACUCAAACUUUUAGGUUAAACUGAUUUAAUUUGGUGUAGGUCGUUAGACACGUAUCCUGUAUGGUGAGCUUAACAACCGGGAUUAGAAACACCAACCGAUUAUGUUUGUUAAGAUUAUGAUUACGAAGAAGCCUUCCCUGGAAUCCAAACGUGUAAUUGAAAACCUGAAUUUACAAGUAAACAGAUAAACGAGUGAGUUUCAGAUCAGUAGAACAAGGAGAAAUUCGUGUUGAGGCAGCAGCUCCUCCUUCCUCAUAGUCAUUCAUGUGGAAGCAAUCAUAGCAAGAUAGCCACAACCUUCUUUUAACUCUCUCUUUGAAGCUAGUUAAUUUUUGUACUAUAAUCUGUAGACUCUGGUAGUCUGGUAUAUAUAUUGAAAUAGACAUAGACAUGUCUAUAAAUUCAUACAUCUUUAGUGCUCAGAUAAGAUUAAGCAGAUGCAAAUGUUAUCUCAAAUUAUUUUUUUUUCCCCUUAAGAAAAAUAGGUUCAUAUGUCAGUGUGGACAUAAAACUAUAAAGAUGAGACAUUGAACAA